UACAGAGGGUGCAAGCGUUGUUCGGAAUCACUGGGCGUAAAGCGCACGUAGGCGGACUCUUAAGUCGGUGGUGAAAUCCUGGAGCUCAACUCCAGAACUGCCUUCGAUACUGGGAGUCUCGAGUCCGGGAGAGGUGAGUGGAACUGCGAGUGUAGAGGUGAAAUUCGUAGAUAUUCGCAAGAACACCAGUGGCGAAGGCGGCUCACUGGCCCGGUACUGACGCUGAGGUGCGAAAGCGUGGGGAGCAAACAGG
rnacentral:rRNA from 1 species